CAGCCGCCGCGGUAAUACGGAGGGUGCAAGCGUUAUCCGGAUUUAUUGGGUUUAAAGGGUGCGUAGGCGGAUCUAUAAGUCAGUGGUGAAAUCCCGGGGCUCAACUCCGGAACUGCCAUUGAUACUGUAGGUCUUGAAUACGGUUGAGGUAGGCGGAAUGUAGCAUGUAGCGGUGAAAUGCAUAGAUAUGCUACAGAACACCGAUCGCGAAGGCAGCUUACCAAGCCGAUAUUGACGCUCAGGCACGAAAGCGUGGGUAGCGAACAGGAUUAGAUACCCUGGUAGUCCACGCCGUAAACGAUGAUCACUCGUUGUUGGCAACACAUAGUCAGUGACCAAGCGAAAGCGAUAAGUGAUCCACCUGGGGAGUACGACCGCAAGGUUGAAACUCAAAGGAAUUGACGGGGGCCCGCACAAGCGGUGGAGCAUGUGGUUUAAUUCGAUGAUACGCGAGGAACCUUACCUGGGCUCAAAUGUAAGUUGACAGUUCCCGAAAGGGAAUUUUCUUCGGACAAUUUACAAGGUGCUGCAUGGUUGUCGUCAGCUCGUGCCGUGAGGUGUCGGGUUAAGUCCCAUAACGAGCGCCACCCCUAUCAUUAGUUGCCAUCAGGUAAAGCUGGGGACUCUAAUGAAACUGCCUACGCAAGUAGAGAGGAAGGUGGGGAUGACGUCAAAUCAGCACGGCCCUUACGUCCAGGGCUACACACGUGCUACAAUGGCCGGUACAGAGGGCAGCCACCACGCGAGUGGGAGCGAAUCUCGAAAGCCGGUCUCAGUUCGGAUCGAAGUCUGCAACCCGACUUCGUGAAGCUGGAAUCGCUAGUAAUCGCGCAUCAGCCAUGGCGCGGUGAAUACGUUCCCGGGCCUUGUACACACCGCCCGUCAAGCCAUGGAAGCUGGGGGUACCUGAAGUCGGUAACCGUUAAGGAGCUGCCUAGGGUAAAACUAGUGACUGGGGCUAAGUCGUAACAAGGUAGCCGUA
rnacentral:rRNA from 1 species